AUGGGCAGCUGCCACCACUACCAGAGUCUUCCUUGCAAUGCGAGCUUCUUGCAUCAUGACUUCUAGAUUCCAAGUAUGCAAAGCAAACGCUCGUACCCUGACUCCAUCUGGGAUUUGGAAUGCACUCAGGGAAGUGGCUGUGCAUGGAGACUAGAAAUGGAAGAGGCUUCCAAGGUCAUGCCUUUCAGGCUCCCUUCAAAUUCUACAGCUACUGUGAAGAGAGUUGCAUUCCCACAGAGAACAUGUCAGACUGGAGGAAAAUUGUGACAAAAGGUCUCCCCAAAGAUCGAGGAAAGGAGGUUUGCCUGAAAAGGAGCCAGAGUGGUUCCGCCCAGACUGACGUGCUUCUGGCAGCCGGUGUGUACUGCUUGGUGACUGCUCUUUCAUUUCAGGUGGUGAUUUACCAAAUGCCGCUUUUUUUCUGUAUGACACAGGCGUGGCCAAACAUAGUCACCACUCAGAAUGUUGGGGAAGUUUCUCGUCCCCAUCAAACAGAGGGAGCAACCCUUGGUGGUUCAACAAUGAAGCCUCCAUUAGCUGAGAAGUCUAACUGUGAUUUAUCAUUCCCUACCUAUAAAGAUUGUAAACAAAUCA
rnacentral:lncRNA from 1 species